GCUAAUGUAUAGCCCCAACACCCAUAAAACAAAACUAAUCUAAAACUAACAAAACAAAACAUUUAUAUAUCCAAGUAUAGGAGAUAGAACAGAUAUACGGGAGCCAUAACACUA
rnacentral:rRNA from 1 species